GUCUAUGGCCAUACCACCCUGAACGCGCCCGAUCUUGUCUGAUCUCGGAAGCUACGCAGGGUCGGGCCUGGUUAGUAUUUAGAUGGGAAAACAUAGGGUUAGCAUUUUGGAUG
ensembl:rRNA 5S_rRNA 5S ribosomal RNA